CGGCUUUCUUAAGGUUUUAUUUAUUUUUACAAAUAGUUGAUAAUAACUCUGUAAUAUUGACAAUGCUACAAAAAUGUUAGAACACCAAAUAUGAAUACUGAUCUCAUAGUUGAUAAGAUAUAUAAAAUAUUGAUUAACUGAAGCAGAAGACCAUUCUGAAAUGUUUACAAGUAUUAGUUAUAAAUUUUAUGGAUGCUGCCAAGUCAAAGUUGUACAUUUGUGGGGGGACAUUCAUCAUACAUUUUGUUUAAUGUUUAACAAGAGAGAAAUAGCUAA
rnacentral:lncRNA from 1 species